GGUUCGGUAGCUUAUAUUAAAGCGCGGGGCUUUUAACCCCGCGAAGUUUAUAGAACCCGCGCCU
rnacentral:tRNA from 1 species